rnacentral:rRNA from 1 species
AUUGAACGCUGGCGGCAUGCCUAACACAUGCAAGUCGAACGAGUGGCGGACGGGUGAGUAGUGUCUGGGAAAAUUCCUGAUGGGGGGGGAUAACUACUGGAAACGUUAGCUAAUACCCAAUACCAUCAGAUGUGCCCAGAUGGUAUUAGCUUGUUGGUGGGGUAACGGCUCACCAAGGCGACGAUCCCUAGCUGGUCUGAGAGGGUGACCAGCCACACUGGAACUGAGACACGGUCCAGACUCCAACGGGAGGCAGCAGUGGGGAAUUUUGCACAAUGGGCGCAAGCCUGAUGCAGCCAUGCCGCGUGUAUGAAGAAGGCCUUCGGGUUUUAAAGUCCUUUCAUCGGGGAGGCGUUACCCGCAGAAGAAGCACCGGCUAACUCCGUGCCAGCAGCCGCGGUAAUUC